UACGUAGGGGGCAAGCGUUGUCCGGAAUCAUUGGGCGUAAAGAGCGUGUAGGUGGCUCGGUAAGUCCGCUGUAAAAGUCCAGGGCUCAACCCUGGAAAACCGGUGGAAACUGUCGAGCUAGAGUCCGGAAGAGGCGAGUGGAAUUCCUGGUGUAGCGGUGAAAUGCGCAGAUAUCGAGAGGAACACCAGUGGCGAAGGCGAGUCCCUGGACAAUACCUGACACUGAGGCACGAAAGCUAGGGGAGCAAACAGG
rnacentral:rRNA from 1 species